UGUAGUGGGGGCGUGGAUGGAGUGUCAGAGGCUCCUGCUGGUCUUUAGGGUGUCUGGCCUCCAGGAAUCCUAGAGUAAAUUGGGAACUACAGCACUCGAUGUUAGAGUUGUCGUGAAGAUUAAAGAAGGUGACGACUGGACAACUCCCAGCCCAAUACCUGAAACUGUACCAGCACCCAGUGAGCACUGCUAUUCCUGUGACUGCUGCACAUUUGCCUUAU
rnacentral:lncRNA from 1 species